UUGAAGCCUCUUCACAACUCUCUCUCUCUCUCUCUCUCUCUUUCUCUCGUAUGCACUUGGAGUUUUGGGUAGGCAUUGGGACACUGCCCUCUCUCCUCUUGUAAGCACUUGGAACUUUAGGGUAGGCAUUGGGACACCGCCAGCGAGGGUUUUCAGAUAGUCUCAUUAUGCCUCACAAAUUAGGAGGAGGAAGAGGAACUAAUAAGAGGAAGGAAGAAAUUCAAUAUAAUGACUCAAUAUCUCUUCAUGAAGCAAUGAGGGAGAAUUAUGCCCUAGUAGAUGAUUCUACAAUCAAUCUUCAUGUAAUAAUGCAGGAGAAUAAUGCACUAGCAGAUGAUUCUAUAACCAAUCCUCAUGAAACAAUUGUGGAUGAUGGUGAAUCACUAAAUCACCUUAGUGAGCCUAGUUCGGCUCAAAGGAGAAGAGGUCUGAGUUUAGGCACCACACCACCAUCACAUCCAUCCGGUCGGCAACCAUGGUUAUUAAUGGAACAAGCUUUCCAAAUUCAAUUGGUAAGACCAUCACAGAUGACUUCAAGGGCAAUAUAAUUGAUGCGUGGCCUACAUGGACUAGCAUCCCUCUACAUAUUAACGAUACUCUUUUCAUGAAAUUUAAGGAAAAGGAAUACAAUCAUAAAGUUUUAUAUCCCG